GUUCUAUUCCUGCUCGUUGGCGACAUCUGCUGGCCAGAAGAGAGGUAGGCCUGGAAGGCCAGAUCUGUUUUUGGCUUGGAGCAGCAAGAGCUGACAUACAAAGCCCUCCAACGCUGGGAGGGAUCUCGAACCCAACUGGACAGGAACCUACCGGAUGUUAUUUGGCCCUAGACCUGACCCCAGUGAUUGUUGCAGCCUGUGAGACUCUGAAGUCUUCCCUGAACGCCCUCUCUGGUUCCCCCCCGCCACCACCACUGUCCACCUCCUGCUACACACCCUCACCAUCCCCUCUGACCUGCCCUCUGAUGCUUAACCACCC
ensembl:lncRNA